UACUUUAAAAAACUCAGCCCGAAGUUAACAUGUGUAAUAAAGAAUCUUUCGACGAAUUGCUGCAGACAAGCUUCCCUCUCUUCUCUCCUGUUCAGACGAUUAUAUCUUAAUAUGCGCUGUAGUUUCGCCCAAUAAUGACAGCUGUUCAGCUGAUAGUAACUUCUUUCCAAGUUUUUUUUUUUCUUUUCUUUUUUCCCCCCCUCCCCUCCUUUCCCCACUCGGGCCCCGCUUGGUCUAUGUCUUGCUUUGUUGUUUUAAAAUAUGCAUGUCUCUCUCCGGAAUGCCAGUCACGGGUCCAAACUUUGUGUGUCCCAACCUCCCACAUGAUGAAAUGAUCCUUUUAAAAGCGAGCUCAAUAUGUCUCAAUCUGCACUCUUCUCCCUCCUCUACCAAAGCCUUCUGGGCUCGGGACGCAACCCAGACACGUACAUAAGUGCAUGCAUAUAAUAAUUAAAGCGCAAUUCACUUUGCUGCGGACUUUAUUUCUAAGCGCUGAAGAGGAAGACGCGGCUGGAUCAAGUCAAGUUCUGUCAGCGACGGACGGAUGAAGAUUCAUGGCAGGAAAAGGGGGGAAAAAGCCGCUGCGUGUGGUGACAACGUUGGCGUUCUCUUCGGCUUCCUCUUCCUCCUUCGUCUUCAGGAUUUCGUUGAAGAACCUGAAGAUGGACUCAAAACUCAUCCAGGAGCAGAUCGAUGCGGCAGCGCUCGCUCGUUCACCCUGAACUGGUGGUGAACUCCCCCCGCACGCCGCCAGCCUCUCCGCCCUACUCCACCGCAUUCGAGGGUCACCAUGGGGGUGUCUCUGUGCUAAUAUGCAGAUGAGCUGCUGCCCCUCCAAUGACUCGGAUGUUAAGCUCCACCUCCCUUUGAAGGGUUGAGGGCUUUGAGAUUAAGUCUUCUCCCUUCACUCUCAUAUAUAGACAUACAGUAAAUUGUCUCUCAUACGAAAUGUGCCAAAUUGCAUCCACUCUUAUUUCUAAAGCUCAACGACAAAAUUCACAAUGCACAUGCUUUGACGGAAGAAAAACAUUACAAAGUAAUAUAUAAACAACAUAGUUCAACAGGGAAUGGACCUUGUAAAAAAUGAGUAGCCAAAAAUACAGACAAACAGUAUACGUUUAUCUAAGACUUUAUCAAUAUUCAGGUGAAUUAGAUUUUUUUUUUUUGAAUAUUUAUCAUGUACUGCAAUGGAAUAGCCACAUGUUUGUAACUUUACAAGCUUUUUUAUCUGGCAUAUAACUCCAAAACAGAGAUUGUAUAUUUAUAUUUCCGUAACUGUUUAUGACACGUGUAUAAAACUACUGCUAUCAUAGAAUAAAGUUUUUAUAUUUAGUAAAAAGCCUUUUAAAACUGAGCAAAUCCGAUAAAAAAUUCAGGCAACAAAAAAUACUGUAAAAAAAAAUACAGGUUUUUGUACAAUUCUAAUUGUGAUUGAACCUAAUGGGUUCAUAGCUAAAUUAAUAAGGGCAACUGAAUGAAGACAAUGCAACACAAAGUAAUGGGCAAAACACUUUUGUGCUCUUAACUACAAAUUACACCUUGUGUUUAAGCAAUAAACAUAUAAACAACAUAGUUCAACACAGUACAAAACAGAGCAGAUUAUUAGCUUGGUGUGCUCCUGACAGUUGAAGUGAGAUUGAACACUGUGCAAGAUUGGAAGAGCAGCCUGAGGAAAAAAUCUGAAACAUUUUAAGUCUGGUAAAUAACUUGCAGAGAUGUCAAAAAAUGUUUUCUAACAGGUUUCUAGUUAUACUCUUUAUGUUUUUAAAAUUUGAUUUGAAUGAUCUACGAAAAGCAUUUUAGUUGUCUGGUAGGCUAUUUUUUUGGACAGCUAUUAGAAAAAUAAAUAAAUGAAACAAAAACAACAAAGAGAGGGGGCAAGCAGGAACCAAGGACAUGACUGAAUUGAAACAACAACAGACAGAAAAAACAUCUCCAGUAAUAAUAAUAAUAAUCAGAAUUUACUUCUAAUUAGAGUUGGUUAGCAGAAAAAAAAAGUUUUUACAAUAAGGACAGCUGGUCUGAAACUGAUGAAACACAUUCACAGUUCUGUGGAGAAGUUUAACUGUGAGGCAGGAAAUAUCUGGUGCAGAAACAUGCUCUGUGGUGAGGUCACCCGCAUGUUCUCUCUGCUGAGGUCAAGACACAGUUUUGAUGGCCGGGCUGCCCAGCGGCUUGCGGCUGACCAUCCUGAGUGAGUGUGUUUUCCCAAACUCGGUGAGGCCGGCUCAUUAUGUGGCAAGCAGAGAGAAGCAUUUGAUCCUGGAUGUUUAGCAUCCUCCUCUCUGUCACAGCCACUGGAGCCCUCUCUGGGUAAUUGACUGGCUGUUUGAUCUCGCUCUGACUCGACAUUACUACACACAUUUACACACACGGACAAACGCGUUUAUCUUGCAAGUGUCUGCUUAAUGCCCACAGUUACUCGUGCCAAACGCACACAGUUAUGAUGAUUUGUGUGCUGAGGAGGAAUCUAAGAGAGGAGCAGAGUGAGUUUUGAGCUGAAAACAGGGAAACUCGUGCAUAGCUGAAGGCCAUGCUUUCUUCCCUCUGCACCAAAUGCUGCAUGCUGUUACAAAUGGUAAUCGGCUGUGAUUGUCACAAAUUUCAAAACAAACGCUAGGUGACUGAAAAGCCAAAGUGACGCCCCGAGUGAUACUCCGACAGGAGCUGCGAAUCAAAGCAUGCCGACUAUAAUUAGGUUCCAUCUGGGCUACAUUAUUUAAAGCCGCACCAGUUAAUUGCUUGUGUACAAAUGGCCUAUUUUAUUUGAAUCAAAUUCUUUUUUAUUCAUAAUUACACUGAUGUGAAGGGGGGCAUAUCUCUUUGCUACAGUUAUAAUAUAAAUACAUAUUCAAAUUAAGGAUGCUUUGAGGCGAGGCAGAACGUAAAAUGAUGACACUUUUAUUUUUGUGAGUUGAUUUUCUUUAAACAAUUAAGAGUGCUUAAAAAAUACUGACAUUUGGGUUAAAUAUUUAAUGAACUCCAAUUAAAAAAAGAUUUUAGCCCUGAUAUAAUCAUUAAGCAGAAAUCAGAAAGGCAGAAUUCCUGAAAGACAGUAUUUAUAGAAUAGACAAAAAUAUUGAUGCGAGUAUUUUCAUUUUCUCAUUUCCUUUCCUUUCUUUUUUUCUUUAAAGAAAACACCAGAUAAAAAAGCACAACACACAAAUAGAGGAUUGUCUUAUCAACUUCCCAUCAAAUGUAACCCCAGCCUUAGCAGAGCAUUGUGGGAGCACUCUUGGACUACUUGUAACCUUAGCAGUGUUUCUACUUGUGGAAACUAUCUGAUCUGCAUCGCUGGGAGAGAAUCGCUGUCUGUAUCCUGGUUGUCAGAAGAUCAGAUUUCCACCCCGACUCUUUCUGAUAUUAGAUGGUCCUUUGCAGUGUGUGUGUGCAGAAUAUGAGUGGUGGUCAAACCUCGACGUAUGCUCGUCCCCAAGCAAUGCCUACGCAUGUGCAGUACAGUUUUUGUGUAUUGUCACUUUAUGUACAAACAUGCUUAAAGGUCAAGGAUGCCAUUUUCCUCCAUAUGGCUCUUUGUUCUGGAUGGUGCGACACGUUGCCAGUGAAGACAAGGCCAAAGAGAAGCGCAGGCAGGUGACAGGUGGUCAGCCACACUGUUGGAGCAAAGCUGCCCUAUCUAACAAAGCAUGUGGAUGCCAUCUUCAGCCAGAAAUCAAAUUAACCCAUAAAUACAAUCUUAAAUUGUCACUCAGAGUAGGACAGUCACAUUAAACGGAGCUUAAAAUAGAUAAAAUCAGAUAUAUGUCUGCCAAAUAAUAUGUUUGACUAAAGGAAGAUGAAAAUAACAUCACUUUACUUACUUUAAUCAAACCAGAGAAAAUUACCCAAAACAGAGCUUGUUUGAUUAAACCAGUUUCGCCACUGUUACCUCUUCAUUGAAAUUCAUUUGUAAUGCCUGUUUGUAAGUGGGGUCCACCCCGCUUCCCCUCACGUUUCUGUCAUCCUGCUUUUAAUUGCUUUGCUUAUUACUGUGUGUUGUUGUUAGACAAAAACAAGGCAGAACUCAUUACGCAUCCAGAGAUGAGGAACCUGAAUCACUUCCUACGGGGGCUGCUCAGGGGACUUUGUAUUUCCAAAGCAAAAUAAAAAAAAGAGUGAGUGAGAAGAGAAUCAAGACAAGGACCAGAAAGAGAAUAUCACAUUAACUGGUUGAUAUUAUCACCCAGUCUCUGCUACUAUGUUUUCAAUAAAAUGGUCUAGAGAGGAAAACUGUGACAAGAAUAAAUUUCUCAUCACAGUGCCUUGCAAACAUAUUUACACUCAAACUUUGUAUAUACUGUAACGCUAUAAUAAACAAAGUAUAUGUAUUACAUUGGGAUUUUAUGUGAUAAACCGACAAUUACAAUGAAAGGAGAAAGGGAAAUGAUAUAUGAUUAUAAAAAUAUGAGUUCAGUCCCAAUACAUACCAGGACAUUUUGGAACCGUGUUUUGCUGUAAUUAUGGAGUUAGACGUUUUUUGGGUUAUGUCUUUAUCGGCUUUACACAUCUGUAGACUGAAUAUUUUGACAGUUUCACUUUGCAUGACAGCUCAGUCAUGUGAGUCAUGAGUGUCUGUGAAAAUCUGUGAAAGUCUUGCCAAAGAUCUUCAAGGGGAUUUAGGGCUGGACGUUGGUUGAUUCAAACACACCAUGAUUUUCUGUAAUACUGUCUCUAAUACUGUCGGUUAAGGUGGAUGGCUAUGUCUAAAUAAGUUUACAUUUUUGCCAUGACAUCAAUUGUUAGAAAAUGGAUUGAGCGGUGCUCCUUGAGAUCUUUAGAGUUUAGGAUAUUAUUCUGAAACCUAAACCAAUUUGGGCAACUUGGUGUUUUUUCUUUUUGUUUUUGGAAAGGGGGUUGGGAGAGUCAAAUAAAAUAGUGUUAAACAGAAAUGUAAACCCCAUUUGUCUGAUACUAUACUUUGUGUUGGUCUGCCACACAAUGUUUCCCUGAAACAUUGAAGUUUCACGGUAUAAACAAUAUAAUAAUUUGAAAAGUUCGAGGGAUAUGAAAACCUUUGCAAGGCAUUGUACUUUUUAUGCCUCAUUUAGUUAAAGCCUUUAAUGCUUCCUCUUCAACCUAUUUCCCUCUCUGGCCAGACUGUCAGACUGGACUGAGUGCUUUUUUGUUUUAACUGGGAAGAGUGGCCUUGGCUGUCAUAAAAGACACUCGUUUUAUAGAGUUGGAGCGAAGUAUUUACAAGAUAACCCUGGUCCAAGGACCGUGCAAUUUGAUACCAGUGCCAGACGCUCUUCUCUCCAGUAAAAACUGAAAGGUCCAAACAUCCCUUCCCCUCUACAUAACCUCUCAAUGUCAGCAGCUUUAGUGAGCUCUGAAGAAAGUGGUUGAGAUGCAUGUGAAUAAGAUGAGAUACAUAUUUGUGGAGUUUAAUAAAGAGUUUGGCUCCACCUUAGCUUGUUCGGUGUAAAGAGUUUAACAGAGAAUAUCUAUAUAGAAAUAAUAGAAUGAAGCUGAAUCUGUAGAGCUAUUGCCUCUUGUUAUUUUAGGGAAAGACAGAUUGAUACAGUACAAAUCUCUUGAGAAAAAACACACAUUGCAGUGUGAUUUGAAGGAAAGAAAUGAACACAGAAAUAUUUGAUAAAUUCUUUAUUUGAAAAUUGUGCCUGAAGAGCCCUACAAAACUAUUAAUAACCCCAUAACAUUUCCACAUAUAGUCGAGUUGGUCUUUCACACAAACUCCAAGAAAACACAUGGAAGUUUGUGGCUGAAUGGUGACGAGAUGUGAACAAGUUCAAGAGGAAUAUACGUAUAUUUUAGCACUGUGCCGUGCUGCAACUGUCAGACAGUGUUCACUCUAGGAUGUCCAAGAUUUCUUGUUUUAAAAAUAUACAUAAAACUGUUGUUUUAUGUAAGCGAAGCAUCUGGGUAAUAGAAUGAGACUAAAGAAAGUAUAGGUUUGAGACAAACAGUGGGCAAACAUGUAUGUUUAUGGAAGAGGCUUGUUAGGAUUACUGCCUAUACUUUAGCACUGUAAACACUGUAGUCCUACUUUCCAGUCCAGGCCUUUUGUUUCAUCUUCACCACAAUUGGUCAAUAUUUAAAUGGCAAACACUCAAUGGGCUGCAAGCUUGCCUCACACGGCUUUGUUUUUAUCCUGUUGAGGGACAAUGGAAAGCUUUUAUUUUCAUGGCCAGACACAAACUCAAAAGUAGCAUUGCUAAAAAUAGAACCCCUCCACAAAGACCCUGCACAAGGAAUGGCUCUAAAUGCAUGCAUAUAUACAUACUCUAAGUGAGAACAUCAUGACGCUUGUUCAUCUCAUAAUUAACAUGAGAUGGACAAGACGGAGUGGAUACAGAUUAUCUGCACAUGUAGGUAUGUAGAUGUAGAGACGCUUCAGAGAGUCCAUGAACUAAAAUCCAAGCCGAUUUGGACACACUACAGUACUUCUCUAUGCUACAGUUACUCAGUUACUCCUCAUUCCAAUAAACACAUCUCCUGGUCCACUUAUACUCAAUGAGGUCUGGAACACACACACGCACUUGUUCACCUACAGGACAAGCUCACUCACACCAAUCAGCCACAAACGCUCCGGAAAAAGAGAGAAGCAGAAGAGGCCCCAUAGACCUGUAACUCACACAAGACGUAUUCAGAACCAAUGGUCAAAGAGCAGACAGUUUUGAGUGUGGGAACAGCAUGUGUGAAUAUAUAUUCAACUACAUUAAUCUGAUACCCCUAAAUAAAAUCCAGUGCAUUCUACUGCCUUUUAGAACUUCAGAAGUAUAUCCAUGUCUUAGAAUGGCCUAUUGAAAGACCUAAAACCAACUUAAAGUGUCUGCCAAGACUUAAAAAGCUAAUGUUCUCAGAGGAUUGCCAUCCAAUCUCACCGAGCCUAAGCUAUUUUGCAAAGAAGAAAGGGCAAAAAAAAUUCCAUCUCUAGAUGUACAAAGUUUAGAAAGAAACCCUAAAAAACCUACAGCCAUAAUUAUUCCUAUGCAUGUACAAGGCUACUCUUCCAUUGACUGUGUGAUCUGUGAAGAUAAUGUGUGUUUCUAUGCGUGCAUGUGUUGGGUGGAUGAAAGGACUACAAAUGAGAAAAAAGAGUUCAGGUGGGGGGAGGAGCAGGCCAGAGGUGGAGAUAGCACAGAGUGGGUGUUGAGGGUGGGGCAGGUCUGAAAUAGAUCACUUAAUGGAACAAAGUGUAAUUAAUGGGUCACCACAGAUAAGAGUGCUCUAGCACUAUCUGGGAAUGUGCUAAUAGAGCUGACACACACUCAGCAAGAUCAGACCACAGCUAGCUCUCCUUCGGAGUGUCUGUGUGCAUGCAAAGUUUGUGCGCGUGUGCAUGGGUGUGUUUUGACACAUGGUGGAUAAAUAGCGGGUGGAGAAGACUGCCAAGGUGACAGGUUAACAUAGUUUCCUCCCAGACAAAGAUCUGUUGUCCUUGCAAUCAGAGAGAGCUCAGAAGGAAACACAGACUGUUCUCCCUACGAAGCCUCCCUAGUUCACGUAGACCUUCAGCCUCACAUCAAAACAUGACUGAUGUUAUUACACUUUUCAAGCCGGCGCGCCUUCAGUCACGGGGAUGUGGCUGUUUAUGGAGAGAUGGAGGAGAAGGAAGCCACCUGGUCAAGAGGGGGUCAAACUUGAAGUGUUCUGACAGAAGUAAAAUGCCACAAACCUCUCCUUAAACUUCCUGUCGAAGUGUGUCCCUGCGUCAGGGGAACUCCUCUGGAGCCAAGUGUCCUAUGUGUGUGUGUGUGUGUGGGGGGGGGCGUGUGCGCAAGGGUGUUGGAUGAAUCUCUCAGUUUUUGGAGCAGGGUGAGGGAGGGAUUGCAGCCAGGCACAUGCCUUGGGAUAUUGAGAUGGCCGGUGAUGGACAGGGCAAGACAAGGAGGAUAUCCCCUGUUUGUCUUAAGGAGCGAAGCUGCCAUGUCACACAUACUCUCGGGGGGGGGAAAGGUCUGUCUCCAGGAUGGAUUUCUUUGUGUGUGUGUGUGUGCAUGUGCGCGAUUGUGAGGAGAAUGAGACAGAUAGGUAAUGCAUUCGGUUUAUUUUGUGCGCACAUUCAGGGUCACAGACCUAGGGGCCAUCUACUUCAAACUGGUUUAGUCAGACAAGGCAAGGCCACAUUAACACACAGCAUGACUUAGUAAUGGAGAGACCCUGAGCUUGGUGCUGCUCAUGUGGGACUACAAUAAAAAGAAAUCAACACAUAUCUUACAUAUCUUUAUGGAAAUUACCUUUUUAAUGCCAUUACAGUCACCUUGACAAGUCGGUAAAAAUGAAAUGAAGUGAAUGUAACAGUCCUCAAACACAAGGGCUUGACCUCGACAAUAUCAAGCUGUGCAUGAAGCUCUAGGUGAAUCUUAAAUCUUGCUGUGUGUUGUUAAGUGUGUCCACAGCUGCCUGUUAAGUGGGCAAUGUUUGUGUGUAAGCGUGUGAUGUAGCAUCAGGGGGUUAAAUGGAGAGGGACGGGCCUCCAAUCUGUUAGGACAAGGAGAAAACAGCUUCAAAGACUCAACAUCAACCCUCCCCACAUACACACACACACACGCCCGCACACUGACGGACAGUCCAUUGCUCCCAGCAUAUCUCUAUUUUGUCCUUGGACUGUCUGAAUACCACUGGAGGCGAGCAUGAUUUGAGAGAGCAAGUGGGAACAAGAGAGACAGGGAGCCAGAGAGAAGAGAAGAAAGAGCCAAAUGAUAGAGAGAAGAAGAGAGAGAGAGAAAGGAGGCGUCCCCUCAAUGACAUCUAAAGAGAUAACUCACUCUCCAGAGCUUCUUUUCUCUUGCUAUCACUUUCCCAGGCAGCACUCCAUCCACAUAAGGCCUGAGAAGGGACUGUGUGUUAACUUUAGCAAUUUGAAAUACAUGAGGGAAAGUACAAGAAAUACAGCUUACUACAGGGAGAGAAAACAUGAUAUUUAGUUAUUUCUAUGUUAUCAAAAGUUUAAACAAAUGAUAAUCAGUCUGAAAAUUUCACUUUUAUAUCUGGUGGGAAAAUGCUGCCAGUUAUAUUAUGUAUUGCAAAUGUAACUAUUUUUUUCCACAAUUCAACUCAAAGUUAAAUAUUUCAAUGGAAAUAGCAUAUUUAUGUACUUGAAUGGUUUAGACGAAAUCCAGGCCUAAACCCAAUCGAGAAUCUGAGGCAAGACUUAAAGUUCCUGUUAACAUUUGGCCUCCAUUCAACAUAUUUUUUGCCAGCCACUGUAUGUCUGGAGUCAGAAAUGAUGACGUGGAAAACUAAUUUCACCAAGCGGAAAACCUGAUUUAUUUAAAAGAUAUUAAGUUAGAUAUAUCAUUAAGGAUAUAUGUGUAAGCAUGCUCUUCAUAUUGGCAUUAUGCAGUUUGUUAUGAAGCUACACUCAAAUAACUUUUUUAACUAAUUAUGCUAGGAGCACAGUGCACUCAAAACUCAACUUUGAGAGAAAAACACAAAGCACUGAGUCACAGCAAUUCUACAAACACUGAAACAAAAACAGAGAAAAACACAAAGUAAUCCACUGCCGCCGCUAUUGUUGGAUACGCUCCAUUUGCAGACACAGAAAACAGUAGGGAAGACUUAACCUUUUGAUAAGCUCCUACUUGUUCCCGCUGUAUGCAUUUUUCAUUGAAACAUGCGAGUCAGAAAGAGAAAGAACUUCCACACUCACUCCUCUGAGAGGAGAAAGGUUACAGCCUGCAGUCUGGUCUUAGCAAGUACACUGCAUUCUGAUUCUAUGUAAUGCUGAUUAGCAGAGAAUGACAUUAAAUAAAUAUUGAUUCUAUAUCUUCAAAAAUGAGAAAGUACAAUUAUAAAGAGUAAAGCAUCAAGUAAAAGCCUUAAGAUGUAAGAAUCUGCUGUUCUUAAGCAAAAACAUGCAAAGAGAUGUUUGAAUUAAUCUGUGGGUCUAAAAACCACAAGAUUCUAUGUAUUUUAUUCUGAUUUUAUACAAAAGACCAACAAAAGGUCCAGCAUAUCUGCAAAGUGAAAGGAAAACUAUGCAUACACGGUGUAAUAAAUCUAGUUGCUCUGUCAAGGUUGUAGUUCAUCUGGGAAUCCGAUAGCACUUUUGAGCAACCAGCAUAUUGUUUUUAUUGCCAAUUUUCUAUUAAUUGGUCAUUUCUGAAUCAAUACAUGGAUAAUCAUAAAUAGACAAAGAUGAUUUGCUUCCCUUCAGGAGCAUUCACAGGUGAUGGGAUAAGAUGUGGGAGGUCAAGUUCUGAAAAAAAAAGCCUAAUAUAUAAUAAUAAAACAUUCAUUUGAGUCAGUUAAGUUGAUACUGGGGGACAUUCAUCAUAAACAAUAAUUACAAACCAAGAGAAAACCCAAAAAGAGAAAACACAUCAGCAGAAACUCUACACUGCCAAUUGUAUACAGAAAUCACAAGUAACAUGUGAUGUGCUGAAGACAGUUCUUGAGGCAGGUAAUGUGGAAAGAGGGAAAACAAUAUUUAAAUACUAAAAUUAGAAGACAUUGGGCUCUGUAGACACACAGAGGGAAAUCAUAAGGGUGAGUGGCAAAGUAAAACUGCAGGAAGAGAAAGAAACAGCACAUCAAAGCAUAAAAUCUACCUUCUGUCCUAAUUUAAAUGGGCUAUGAAUACUGUGUUUACAAUGUAUAUUUUAUGCCUUCCAGUUCAAACACAGCUUCAUCUGCACUCAGCUGCUAAGUGAUAUGAUUUCACUUUUUAUAGCAGCGCCCCCAUCCCACUCAUCCAACCCGCCACCCCCAGUUCCACUGUUAUUCAAUGUGGUGUGAUUCUGCACGCCUCGUGUGUCGACUUUCAACUGUACAACCCCCCAAGGGCCAAAGAAGCAUAUUAAAUCCCUCCCUAACC